rnacentral:rRNA from 1 species
AUGCACGCUGGCGGCGUGCCUAAUACAUGCCAGUCGAGCGAACGGACGAGAAGCUUGCUUCUCUGAUGUUAGCGGCGGACGGGUGAGUAACACGUGGAUAACCUACCUAUAAGACUGGGAUAACUUCGGGAAACCGGAGCUAAUACCGGAUAAUAUUUUGAACCGCAUGGUUCAAAAGUGAAAGACGGUCUUGCUGUCACUUAUAGAUGGAUCCGCGCUGCAUUAGCUAGUUGGUAAGGUAACGGCUUACCAAGGCAACGAUGCAUAGCCGACCUGAGAGGGUGAUCGGCCACACUGGAACUGAGACACGGUCCAGACUCCUACGGGAGGCAGCAGUAGGGAAUCUGCCGCAAGGGGCGAAAGCCUGACGGAGCAACGCCGCGUGAGUGAUGAAGGUCUUCGGAUCGUAAAACUCUGUUAUUAGGGAAGAACAUAUGUGUAAGUAACUGUGCACAUCUUGACGGUACCUAAUCAGAAGGCCACGGCUAACUACG